GCGGGUUGUGGCCAUGGCGAUGGGAGCAGCCUGAAGUUGUGGUCGCGACGCAGUUGCGGAUGCAGGCCGGGACGUCUGCCUGAGCACCUCGGAAUGUACAAGGAACUGUCGGGUGGAGGAUGCCUGUGGACAGGCACUGUGAAUUAAUGGUGACUCACGAAGAGCCAGACCUACCCACAUGUCUUGAAGAAAAACAUUCAUUAGGUGAAUCCAGCACAUCCUGUAAAGAAGAACUUAAAACUAAUGACAUUCUAAUUUCAGGAAUAUGUCUGAAGUUUCUGAAGUCAUGACAAAAGCUGACAUCAAACCAAAAUCUAUGCAUCGUGCCAAAAUAUGGUCAGAUAAUGUAGAGAACUUAUACAGAUUUCAGCAAGCUGGAUACAGAGAUGAGGUGGAAUAUAAACAAGUGAAACAAGUUGAUGAGGCACUCCACACUCAUGGAUCUCUUGAAAAGCCUGUCCAGUGUCCUCUGUCCUGGCUCCCUCAACCAGCCCUGGCUCAUACCUUGAGGCUUCCAGGGGCUGGCACCCAACCAAGACACUCUCUACAGAAACUUCCUGUCCUCUCAGCAGAACAUGUGCCCCCAGCAAAGGCAAGGAAUGUACAAUCCCAGCAUGGCAGGAUUAACUGAAAAUCAUGCCCCUUGCUCUGAGGGGAGGACCAUGCUGGCUGUCCUCGAGCUGGGUGUCCCUUGAUGAUCUGCCAGGGUCGGGUGACCCUUUCUGUAGACGGAGUCAAACCCAACUCUUUUGGAAUGAUCAAGAGGGAUCUCAGUGUUGUAAAUAUCUUGUCCAUUUCCUCAUGUUGGGAGCUGAUAAAGAUAAGAUUAAAGUCUGUUCUAACAAACCAGGUUUGUUAGUCAGGUUUCCUUUGGACCUGAAGACAGAUGAAAACAGCUCCUGGAUGCCUUAGGAGUUUUGUGUUGUGGAAGCAUUGUUAGGAAACUGAGAAAGCUGCUAUCCUUUCAAAGUAAAGUGUGCCAAGUAGAACAGCCCCAGGGCCAUCCUGCUGGGAGCUGAGGGCUGAUUUAAUAGUGCAAAAACCAAUUACCAGGCUGUAAUCAGUAAUGGCUGUGUUGGGAAGCUAAAAUCACUACAGGGAAAGAGACGGGAGAGCAGGGUCUGCUCUUGCUGGAGCUGAGACCCAGAUAAAUGGCAGCAGAAAGCCCCUGCUACCAAAGAGUUAUGGCAUAAAUUGAUGCAUUAGAAGCCCCAGUGCAUUAGAUCACUUGGAAGGACACACAGAGCAUCCGGAAGCCAGGUCAGUGAAGGGCUGAAGGCAGCACUGCCUGCCCAGAUGAGUUACUGACCUCCACCCUGGGACUCCAACAGCCAGCUAGUGAGUUACAGAGGCAGCAGCAGCAGUGACCGUGAUAUAUAAUUAUCCUUGGAAUAUAUUGAAAUUUUCAUAUAUGUGCUGAGUUAAACCUUCACCCAGAGUGCAGAGAAAAACACAUGAUGACUUUUAAUAGAAAUAAAAUAUUAGACAGGAGAAAACAUAUAGUCUUUUAUAAUCAAUGGUGCUGAUGUUCUGAAGAGACUCCAAAGCUCUCUGCAAUUUAUGGGCCAAAUCUGUUUCUAGAAAGUAAUGCCAGGAAUAUUUUUGAGGAAGGAGAGCUAAAGCUCGGCAUGUAAACCUUGGAACUGCUGUAACAGACACAGCCAGCUGUGAUAAAUGUAAAACACACUAAAUAACACCAAGGGAGUUGUAUCCAAGCUGAGCAGUAAAAAUCUUUCCAAUGUUAAACCAUGCAAGAUUUCCUUGGAUAUUACUUCCUCCAUUAAAAAGCAGGUUGUUUUUUAUUUCAGACCUGAGAAGCAUAGGUACUUUCCACUGAAGAUUGAUAUACUUACUCUGAAUUGUAGAAAGAAGUGAAUCUGUUUGGUCUGUUACAUUAGUAGCUCAAUCAGACGCUCAUCAAAUUACAGCUGCUGUCUAUGAAGUGAUCACAUCACCCAGGAAGAACUUUGAUGCACAACUGAGUGGUCCAGGUGGGAGAAAUGUAGAUUAGUUAAGUGGAGAAGAUGUGUAGCACUCAAAAAACCAAGAUAUUCUAAUAAAAUAUGGGCUGAGAAAUAAGUAACUCCCUUGUUCCAAUAUUCACUGACUAUUGAUUCAUUGACUAUUAUGUGCAAGUAGUAAUUUGUGGUUUUCAGCAAU